UUAAGUUAUUAAGGGCGCACGGUGGAUGCCUUGGCACUAGAAGCCGAUGAAGGACGUUACUAACGACGAUAUGCUUUGGGGAGCUGUAAGUAAGCUUUGAUCCAGAGAUUUCCGAAUGGGGAAACCCAGCAUGAGUUAUGUCAUGUUAUCGAUAUGUGAAUACAUAGCAUAUCAGAAGGCACACCCGGAGAACUGAAACAUCUUAGUACCCGGAGGAAGAGAAAGAAAAUUCGAUUCCCUUAGUAGCGGCGAGCGAAACGGGAAGAGCCCAAACCAACAAGCUUGCUUGUUGGGGUUGUAGGACACUCUAUACGGAGUUACAAAGGACGACAUUAGACGAAUCAUCUGGAAAGAUGAAUCAAAGAAGGUAAUAAUCCUGUAGUCGAAAAUGUUGUCUCUCUUGAGUGGAUCCUGAGUACGACGGAGCACGUGAAAUUCCGUCGGAAUCUGGGAGGACCAUCUCCUAAGGCUAAAUACUCUCUAGUGACCGAUAGUGAACCAGUACCGUGAGGGAAAGGUGAAAAGCACCCCGGAAGGGGAGUGAAAUAGAACCUGAAACCGUGUGCUUACAAGUAGUCAGAGCCCGUUAAUGGGUGAUGGCGUGCCUUUUGUAGAAUGAACCGGCGAGUUACGAUUUGAUGCAAGGUUAAGCAGUAAAUGUGGAGCCGUAGCGAAAGCGAGUCUGAAUAGGGCGUUUAGUAUUUGGUCGUAGACCCGAAACCAGGUGAUCUACCCUUGGUCAGGUUGAAGUUCAGGUAACACUGAAUGGAGGACCGAACCGACUUACGUUGAAAAGUGAGCGGAUGAACUGAGGGUAGCGGAGAAAUUCCAAUCGAACCUGGAGAUAGCUGGUUCUCUCCGAAAUAGCUUUAGGGCUAGCCUCAAGUGAUGAUUAUUGGAGGUAGAGCACUGUUUGGACGAGGGGCCCCUCUCGGGUUACCGAAUUCAGACAAACUCCGAAUGCCAAUUAAUUUAACUUGGGAGUCAGAACAUGGGUGAUAAGGUCCGUGUUCGAAAGGGAAACAGCCCAGACCACCAGCUAAGGUCCCAAAAUAUAUGUUAAGUGGAAAAGGAUGUGGCGUUGCCCAGACAACUAGGAUGUUGGCUUAGAAGCAGCCAUCAUUUAAAGAGUGCGUAAUAGCUCACUAGUCGAGUGACACUGCGCCGAAAAUGUACCGGGGCUAAACAUAUUACCGAAGCUGUGGAUUGUCCUUUGGACAAUGGUAGGAGAGCGUUCUAAGGGCGUUGAAGCAUGAUCGUAAGGACAUGUGGAGCGCUUAGAAGUGAGAAUGCCGGUGUGAGUAGCGAAAGACGGGUGAGAAUCCCGUCCACCGAUUGACUAAGGUUUCCAGAGGAAGGCUCGUCCGCUCUGGGUUAGUCGGGUCCUAAGCUGAGGCCGACAGGCGUAGGCGAUGGAUAACAGGUUGAUAUUCCUGUACCACCUAUAAUCGUUUUAAUCGAUGGGGGGACGCAGUAGGAUAGGCGAAGCGUGCGAUUGGAUUGCACGUCUAAGCAGUAAGGCUGAGUAUUAGGCAAAUCCGGUACUCGUUAAGGCUGAGCUGUGAUGGGGAGAAGACAUUGUGUCUUCGAGUCGUUGAUUUCACACUGCCGAGAAAAGCCUCUAGAUAGAAAAUAGGUGCCCGUACCGCAAACCGACACAGGUAGUCAAGAUGAGAAUUCUAAGGUGAGCGAGCGAACUCUCGUUAAGGAACUCGGCAAAAUGACCCCGUAACUUCGGGAGAAGGGGUGCUCUUUAGGGUUAACGCCCAGAAGAGCCGCAGUGAAUAGGCCCAAGCGACUGUUUAUCAAAAACACAGGUCUCUGCUAAACCGUAAGGUGAUGUAUAGGGGCUGACGCCUGCCCGGUGCUGGAAGGUUAAGAGGAGUGGUUAGCUUCUGCGAAGCUACGAAUCGAAGCCCCAGUAAACGGCGGCCGUAACUAUAACGGUCCUAAGGUAGCGAAAUUCCUUGUCGGGUAAGUUCCGACCCGCACGAAAGGCGUAACGAUUUGGGCACUGUCUCAACGAGAGACUCGGUGAAAUCAUAGUACCUGUGAAGAUGCAGGUUACCCGCGACAGGACGGAAAGACCCCGUGGAGCUUUACUGUAGCCUGAUAUUGAAAUUCGGCACAGCUUGUACAGGAUAGGUAGGAGCCUUUGAAACGUGAGCGCUAGCUUACGUGGAGGCGCUGGUGGGAUACUACCCUAGCUGUGUUGGCUUUCUAACCCGCACCACUUAUCGUGGUGGGAGACAGUGUCAGGCGGGCAGUUUGACUGGGGCGGUCGCCUCCUAAAAGGUAACGGAGGCGCUCAAAGGUUCCCUCAGAAUGGUUGGAAAUCAUUCAUAGAGUGUAAAGGCAUAAGGGAGCUUGACUGCGAGACCUACAAGUCGAGCAGGGUCGAAAGACGGACUUAGUGAUCCGGUGGUUCCGCAUGGAAGGGCCAUCGCUCAACGGAUAAAAGCUACCCCGGGGAUAACAGGCUUAUCUCCCCCAAGAGUUCACAUCGACGGGGAGGUUUGGCACCUCGAUGUCGGCUCAUCGCAUCCUGGGGCUGUAGUCGGUCCCAAGGGUUGGGCUGUUCGCCCAUUAAAGCGGUACGCGAGCUGGGUUCAGAACGUCGUGAGACAGUUCGGUCCCUAUCCGUCGUGGGCGUAGGAAAUUUGAGAGGAGCUGUCCUUAGUACGAGAGGACCGGGAUGGACAUACCUCUGGUGUACCAGUUGUCGUGCCAACGGCAUAGCUGGGUAGCUAUGUGUGGACGGGAUAAGUGCUGAAAGCAUCUAAGCAUGAAGCCCCCCUCAAGAUGAGAUUUCCCAACUUCGGUUAUAAGAUCCCUCAAAGAUGAUGAGGUUAAUAGGUUCGAGGUGGAAGUAUGGUGACAUGUGGAGCUGACGAAUACUAAUCGAUCGAAGACUUAAUCAA
rnacentral:rRNA from 8 species